rnacentral:rRNA from 1 species
UACGUAGGGGGCUAGCGUUAUUCGGAAUUAUUGGGCGUAAAGGGCGCGUAGGCGGCCAUGCGUGUCUUCCGUGAAAUCCCUCGGCUUAACUGAGGACGUGCGGAAGAAGCUACAAGGCUCGAGUCCGGGAGAGGGGGGUGGAAUUCCCAGUGUAGCGGUGAAAUGCGUAGAUAUUGGGAGGAACACCGGUGGCGAAGGCGGCCCCCUGGACCGGUACUGACGCUGAGGCGCGAAAGCGUGGGUGGCAAACGGG